GAGUUUGAUCCUGGCUCAGAACGAACGUUGGCGGCGUGCUUAACACAUGCAAGUCGAACGAGAACGGUUUCUUCGGAGACCUAGUAAAGUGGCGCACGGGUGAGUAACACGUAGAUAACCUGUCCAGGUGUUCGGGAUAGCCCUUCGAAAGGGGGGAUUAAUACCGGAUACGUUAGUCUGUUAUAAGGCAGAUUAAGAAAGGUGGCCUCUAUUUAUAAGCUAUCGCAUUUGGAGGGGUCUGCGUACCAUUAGUUUGUUGGUGGGGUAAAGCCUACCAAGACUUCGAUGGUUAGCGGGUCUGAGAGGAUGAUCCGUCACACUGGCACUGAAACACGGGCCAGACUCCUACGGGAGGCAGCAGUGAGG
rnacentral:rRNA from 1 species